rnacentral:rRNA from 1 species
ACGCACGCUGGCGGCCGGCCUAACCCAUGCAAGUCGAGCGAGGACUUCGGUUCUAGCGGCGGACGGGUGAGUAACGCGUGGGAAUGUGCCCUUCUCUACGGAAUAGCCCUGGGAAACUGGGAGUAAUACCGUAUACGCCCUAUUGGGGAAAGAUUUAUCGGAGAAGGAUCAGCCCGCGUUGGAUUAGGUAGUUGGUGGGGUAAUGGCCUACCAAGCCGACGAUCCAUAGCUGGUUUGAGAGGAUGAUCAGCCACACUGGGACUGAGACACGGCCCAGACUCCUACGGGAGGCAGCAGUGGGGAAUCUUAGACAAUGGGGGCAACCCUGAUCUAGCCAUGCCGCGUGAGUGAUGAAGGCCUUAGGGUUGUAAAGCUCUUUCAGCUGGGAAGAUAAUGACGGUACCAGCAGAAGAAGCCCCGGCUAACUCCGUG